rnacentral:rRNA from 1 species
GGUUUGAUUAUGGCUCAGAUUGAACGCUGGCGGGAUGCUUUACACAUGCAAGCUUGAACGGCAGCACGGACUUCGGUCUGGUGGCGAGUGGCGAACGGGUGAGUAAUGUAUCGGAACGUGCCUAGUAGCGGGAUAACUACGCGAAAGCGUAGCUAAUACUGCAUGUCACUCUCGCAAAAGCGGGGACCUUCGGGCCUCGCACUAUUAGAGCGGCCGAUAUCGGAUUAGCUAGUUGGUGGGGUAACGGCUCACCAAGGGCGACGAUCCGUAGCUGGUUUGAGAGGACACCAGCCACACUGGACCAGAGAUGGCCCAGACUCCUACGGAGGCAGCAGUGGGGAAUUUUGGACAAUGGGAAAUCCCGAUCCAGCCAUCCCGCGUGUGCGAUGAAGGGCCUUCGGGUUGUAAAGCACUUUUGGCAGGAAAGAAAACCACGGAUAGGCACCCUGUGCAAUGACGGUACCUGCAGAAUAAGCACCGCCAACACGUGCCAGCAGCCGCGGUAAUACGUAGGGUGCAAGACCGGAAUUACUGGGCGUAAAGCGUGUGCAGGCGGUUCGAAAGAAAGAUAGAUGUGAAAUCCCAGAGCUUAAUCUUGGAACUGCAUUUUUAACUACCGAGCUGUAGUGUAUUGGGAGGGAGGUAGAAUUCCGUGUAGCAGUGAAAUGCGUAGAUAUGCGGAGGAACACCGAUGGCGAAGGCAGCCUCCCGGGAUACACUGACGCUCAUGCACGAAAAGCGUGGAGCAAACAGAUUAGAUGCCACCCUGGUAGUCCACGCCCCAAACGAUGUCAACUAGCUUUCGUUGGGGCCUUCGGGCCCGGUAGCGCAGCUAACGCGUGAAGUUGACCGCCUGGGGAGUACGGUCGCAAGAUUAAAACUCAAAGGAACAUGCACCCGCACAAGCGGUGGAUGAUGCGGAUUACCCGAUGCAACGCGAAAACCUGCUCACCCUUUAUUACGUCUGGAAUCCCGAAGAGAUUUGAGUAAGCUGCAAGAGAACUGGAAUGACAGGUGCUGCAUGGUUACCGUCAGCUCGUGUCGAGAUGUUGGGUUAAGUCCCGCAACGAGCGCAACCCUUGUCAUUAGUUGCUGAUGAAAGCGCACUCUGGAAUGAGACUGCCGGUGACAAACCGGAGGAAGGUGGGGAUGACGUCAAGUCCUCAUGGCCCCUUAUGGGUAGGGCUACACGUCAUACAAUGGUCGGGACAGAGGGUCGCCAACCCGCGAGGGGGAGCCAAUCCCAGAAACCCGCCCGAUCGUAGUCCGGAUCGCAGUUCGCAACUCUGACCGGCAGAAGUCGGAAUCGCUAGUAAUCGCGGAUCAGCAUGUCGCGGUAAACAUGCUCCCGGGUCUUGUACACACACCGCCCGCCCCACCAUGGGCGGGGUUUUACCAGAAGUAGUUAGCCUAACCGUAAGGAGGGAAGAUUACCAUCGGGUAGGAUUCAUGACUGGGGUGAAGUCGUACACAGAAU